rnacentral:rRNA from 1 species
UACGUAGGGUGCGAGCGUUGUCCGGAAUUACUGGGCGUAAAGAGCUCGUAGGCGGCUUGUCGCGUUGUUCGUGAAAAUUUACCGCUCAACGGUGAACUUGCGGGCGAUACGGGCAGGCUAGAGUACUGCAGGGGAGACUGGAAUUCCUGGUGUAGCGGUGAAAUGCGCAGAUAUCAGGAGGAACACCGGUGGCGAAGGCGGGUCUCUGGGCAGUAACUGACGCUAAGGAGCGAAAGCGUGGGGAGCAAACAGG